rfam:Lachnoclostridium sp. An169 An169_contig_23, whole genome shotgun sequence.
AACGUAGAUAGAGGUCGCAUCUUUCAAAAGUACGGUGACGGAUGUUUCAGGGACAGAAGAAGCCGCCGGAAAGGGGAAGAUGCCGAAGGGAUGAAGAACCUGAAGCUUUGUUCCUGGGCAUGGCGCGAACAGUGUCAUGACUGUCAUCGCAGGAUGGAGAGCUAUCUGAUUU